rnacentral:lncRNA from 1 species
CAUAACCCCAGUCUAAUCAUGAGAAUCCACCAGACAGACCCAAAUUGAGGGGGAUUCUACAAAAUACACGACCCGCACUCUUCUAAGGUGUCAAGGUCAUGAAAAACAAGACUGGAAAACCAACACAGACUGGAGGAGACUAAGAAGACCUGACAACUAAAUGCCAUGUGGGACCCUGGAGGGGACCCGGGAACAGUAGUAGAAGAGCUGGUGACAUCUGAAUGAAGUCUGUAAUUUGGGUAACAGUACUGUACCAAUGUUAAUUUCCCUGCUCUGCCAAUGCGAUGAGGGAACAGAAGAGAUGAUGGCAAUGCACCUUGCAGGUGCAGUUUCCUUGGGGACCCCUGAACAAGGAGGUUGUUAUCUGGCCAUCUUCAUUCCCACCUUGUGGGAACUGGGUCCAGGGAACCAACACAAAUAAGCUGACAACUUGGCUACUGCUUUUGCUGGAUGCAUUUCACAGAGCACAUGAGCAACUCGGAGGGACCUGGGAAGCCAUGUGGCUGAUGCCUUGCUUUACAGAAGAGGACACCAGGCCCAGAGAGAGGAAGAGACUCCCUGGGACAGCAUGCGCAGCCAGUGGCAAAGCCAGGACCCACAUGCCGAUCCCCCCUUCCCCGCAGCCCUCCCUGUGUGGCAGGGUUGGUACCGAUGCGAUACCACAGCCACAGCCCUCCCAACAUCAACCCACUGGGCCGCCUGUGGGCCUCUGCUCUUCAAAGGAAGAAAGAGCUAUUUGGGAUAAUGGUCGCAGAGCCCUCUGAAGUUCCAAAGAGUUGGAAAAAAUACAUCUAUAAGACCCAUA